rnacentral:misc_RNA from 1 species
GUGUCAACUGUGCUGGCAUUCAUCAGCCCUCUGCUUCCAAUCUUUCCACCUUGGUUUGCAACAAUUCCAGCUACUGUGCAACUGGUGCUAGAAAGUAGAUACAUACUGGCAAUUAGCUUGUCUAUUAUUCACAUUGUGCUUAUGGAUUAUGGUACAUCUGAAAUUCAGGAGGAUAUACCUGGUUACAGUGAAUAUCUUACUGGGCUCAGCAUUAUUGGUGGAAUGACGUUGUUCCCAUCUCCAGUGGAGGGAGCAAUAAUGGGGCCAUUGAUAACUACUGUUGUGAUUGGUCUUAAGGAUUUAUAUGCUGAAUUUGUUCUGGAAGACGCAAAGAAAAAUGAUUAGCAGAACGAAAAGUCUGAAACACUGCCAGUUCCAACUUCGAAUUCUUUUGUUUGCUACCUGUGAACUGAUGUAUAUUAGUUUGAGCCACUUUAAGCAGAAGCACAUAACUCGGCCAAUAUUUUUCUUCUCUUCUCACGCAGUUUGCUCAUUCAAUUGUAGUUUGGGUUUCUUUGUAGCAUAGAUGCCUACUUUGUAUUUUUC